rnacentral:rRNA from 1 species
GAUGAACGCUGGCGGCGUGCCUAACACAUGCAAGUCGAACGAAGCUACAUUUUACGAUCCCUUCGGGGUGACGAAUUGUAGACUGAGUGGCGGACGGGUGAGUAACGCGUGGGCAACCUGCCCUAUACCGGGGGAUAGCAGCUGGAAACGGCUGAUAAUACCGCAUAAGCGCACAGAGAGACAUCUCUUAGUGUGAAAAACUCCGGUGGUAUAGGAUGGACCCGCGUCUGAUUAGCCAGUUGGUGAGGUAAAGGCCCACCAAAGCGAAGAUCAGUAGCCGACCUGAGAGGGUGACCGGCCACAUUGGGACUGAGACACGGCCCAAACUCCUACGGGAGGCAGCAGUGGCGAAUAUUGCACAAUGGGCGAAAGCCUGAUGCAGCGACGCCGCGUGAGUGAUGAAGUAUUUCGGUAUGUAAAGCUCUAUCAGCAGGGAAGAAAAUGACGGUACCUGACUAAGAAGCUCCGGCUAAAUACGUGCCAGCCGCCGCAGUAA